rnacentral:lncRNA from 1 species
AAGAAUAGAGAAAGGCAUUGAAUUUAUUCAAAACGCAGAAUACUAUACAACGGUUUAAAUGAACUAACAAGAGCUAUAUGCAACAGCAUGGAUAGAAGUAUUUACAAACAUUAUAUUAUCUAACCCUUGCAAUAUUCUUAGAAAUGUUACCCAGUGUACAGAUGUGAAAACUAAAAUUUAAAAACUAAAUUGUUUGGAGUUAUAACCUGAGGCCAGGAUUUCAGUCUUAAUCCAGAUAUAUGAAUUUUAAAUUCAUAUUCCUUGCACUAUUGUAUAGAACUUUCAGGAUUUGUCCUCAGUCAGUCAAGAUGGAGCAAGUGAAAUUGAUGAAAUAUUUUUCCUUCUUACCAGUCCCCAAUUCCAUUUGUCAUUGAAAGGCUAUUCAGUUCUGAAGACCUAGCAUGACUAAAAUGGAAGAUAGAUUUCCAGUUUGUGAUAAAUAAUGUAGACAUCAAUAAUUUUUUUUCUGCAGACUUGGGUCUAUUUUAAAUUAUACCAAUACACCUAAAGAUGCAUAAUUUAUUUUUCUAUGUAGAUCAAUACCAAGACUGAUAUUGAUUCUUUCCAUAAUCUCAUCCCCAAACUUUUGAACACAGCAGUUCCAUAUAGUAUUGAUGAAUGUCUGCUCCAACUUGCAAUUACAGCAAUAACAUCAGUACAUUUGAUGAUUUUCUGAUUGACCCUUUUCCCAAAGCUUUAAAUGUAGUAAUUUAAUACAUAAUAAUAAUCUUUCCUACUUAUAGAUGCUCCAUAAUUAAACAUUAAUGAAAAUUUAGCCUUUGGUAUAUAAAAUGCAUAGAUUCAGCUGCAUAAUAGUACCAAUACUUGACAGUUUUUUGAUUGGUUGUCUUACCAAGAAACCCUCUCUAUUCUGUAAGUUAACAGUUAACUCUCCUGCAUUUCCUUUGUUAAAUUUUUUUUCUGAGAUAGGGUCCUUCUGAAAGAGCAAAACAAAUAGAAGAUUUUCCAUGGGUACAUCUAGUAUUAUGACUUAUACACAAGAGAAGUACUUAUAAAUUUACAUAUUAGCAUAUUUGUGGAAAACCAAACAUAAAGGGAAAAAUGUAAAAAUAUCACAUAUUUAUUUCUAGAACAGAGCCAUAACAAAACUAGUAUUUUUCAGAUUUAGACUAAGUUCAUUUUAUCCGAAUGCCUAAACACAAAAUAAUUUUACAUGUACAUAACCCAUAUAAAUAUAAUUAUAUGGAAACUAAGGGGGAAGGAUAAACACUUAUGAAGAACUUUAUAAAAUCAGCAAGUAGAAACAGAUACUUCAGGUAUAAACUGGUCAAGAGCAUUGAAAGACUUGAACAAAGACUUGGCCAAAGAAGUUACAGGAAUGGCAAAUAAGCCCAUGAAAAGAUGUUUGGCAUCAUUAGCCAUUAGGGAAAUGUAAAGUAAAACCAUAAGGAGGUCUAUCUCUCCCCAUCUAUUGGAAUGGCUAAAAUUUUUUAAAAAGUGACAACAGAAUAAGCUGGCAAGGAUGCAGCGAAACUGUAUCAUUCUUACAUUGCUGGUGAGACUAUAAAAUGGUACAGAUAUCCUGGAAAACAGUUUGGCACUUUCUUAUAAAAUAUGCAACUAUCAUUUGACCUAGAAUUUAUGUUCAUGUAAAAACUUUUACAUGAAAUUUCACUGAAAAUUUGUCAUAACCAAAAAUGUAAACAAGCUAGAUGUCCUUUAAUGUGUGAAUGGUUAAAUUGUGGUAUAUCCAUACCAGUAACCCUACUCAUCAAUAAAAUGGAAGGAAAUAUUAAUACACCUAACAGCCUGGAUGAAUCUCAAAUGCAUGCCAAAGUAAAGGAAAAAGGCCAAUCUCAAAAGUAUACAUAUUUUAUGAUUCCAUGUAUAUAUCAUUCUCAAAAUAACAAAAUUAUAGACAUGGAAAACAAAUCAGCAGUUGCAAGGGAUUCAGGGAAAGGAAUGCAAUUACAAGGUUGUGGUGUUUGGGAGUUUUUGUUUGUUUGUUUUUGUUUUUGUUUUGUCUUUUUGCCAUUUCUUGGGCUGCUUUUUGCGGCAUAUGGAGGUUCCCAGGCUAGGGGUUGAAUUGGAGCUGUAGCCGCUGGCCUACACCAGAGCCACAGCAAUGCAGGAUCUGAGCCGCGUCUGCAACCUACACCACAGCUCAGGGCAACGCUGGAUCCUCAACCCACUGAGCAAGGCCACGGAUCGAACCUGCAACCUCAUGGUUCCUAGUCAGAUUCGUUAACCACUGAGCCACAACAGGAACACCCAGGGAGUUCUUUUAUGGUUACAGAAUAGUUCUAUAUCUUGAUGUGGUGGUGGUUAUGCACAUAUUUGCAUUAUGUCAUACAUAUGAUAAAAUAUUAUAUCCAAAAUAUAUAUUAAGAACUCUCAAGAGUCAUUAAUAAGAAAACUGACCAAUAAAAAUAUGGCCAAAUAUUUGAGUAGAAAUUAAUUGACAUAAGAUAUAUAGAUGACUAAUAAACACAUAAAAAUGGAUUAAAGUCAUUAGUUACUAGGGAUAUGCAAAUUAAGUACACAAUUGUAUCUUCACAUUUUUUAGAAUGGCUAAAAGAAACAAAAUAACUGACAACAACUGUCGAGAAAAGAGAGAAACUUGAACGCUCAUAAACUGCUCAUGAGAAUGCAAAAAGGUGAAGUCACUUCAUGAAUUUGUUUUCAUUGCUCAUAAAUAUACACAUACUAUAAAACUCUGUAAUCCCAUCCCUAAAUAAUUCCCAAAUAAAACGUAAAUUUCUGUUCAUACAAACCAUACAUGCCAGUAACUGUUCUUUAUCUUGACUGUGGUAGUAUUUACAUUAUUAUAUGCAUUAGUUAAAGCCCAUAGCAUUAUAUUCUAAUAAGGGUGAUUUUUAGUCUAUAUAAAUUAUAUCAGAAAAAAUUCAAAAUAAAAUUAACUUCUUAAAACAAAUUAAUAAUAAUGUUUUAAAGGUUUUUUAUACAUAAAUAGUUUAGUAAAAGAUAUGAAAAUAAUAGCACAAUGAAUGGAGAGGAUUAAAGUAUAUUUUGUAAGCAUCUUACCAUACAGGAAAAAGAUACAAUAUUAGUUGCAUCUAGAAUUAAUUUUUCAAUGCAUAAAUGUUUUGCUAAUUCUUUAUACUCAAUGUCAUUGACCAAUAAAUAUUAUCACUCAUUAUGCCUUAGUGGCUCUAUGAAAGCUUUUAUGAAAUGAGCUGUGUCCUACUAGGGUACCAGAACUGAAUCGUCUGAUUCUGCCCUUGAACAACUAGAAAGUUAUAAAAACUACUUAAUCCUCUUAAGUCUCAGACACUUAAUUUAAUGAAGACCCAUGAAAAUGGUAAGCUGUGUGAUAAAAGAUAUUCACAAUUGAAAGCAUCAAUUUUAUUGAGUUAGGAACCCAUGUCUGAUUUGUUAAUCUUUGUUUUUCAGAUAAUAUUUAGCAUGAAAGAGACAGUAGUUUUUAUUUUGCUUCUCUUAAGAGGUAUUUUCUAAGUUUUUUUCUUUCCUUUUCAUCUUUUAAAGUUUUAUUGAAGUAUAUCUGAUUUUCAAGGUUGUGAUAAUUUCUGCUGUACAACAAAGUGAUUCAGUUAUACAUAUAUACACAUCCAUUCUCUUUCAGAUUCUUUUCUGAAAAGAAAAAUCUACACAUAGAUUAUCAUAGAAAAUUGGGUAGAGUUCUCUGUGAUAUAUAGCAUGUCCCUUUUGGCCAGUCAUUCCAUAUACCCCAGUGUGAAUAUGCCAAUCCCAAACCCUAGUCCAUCUCUCCCCUACCACCUUUUGGUAAUCAUUAGUUUUUCAAAGUCUGUGAGUCUGUUUCUCUUCUGCAAAUAAGUUCAUUUAUGUUCCUUUUUUAUUAGAUUUCAUAUGUAAGUGAUAUCAGAUGAUGUUUGUCUUUCACUGUCCAACUUCAGUAUGAUAGUUUCUAGGUCCAUCCAUGUUACUGUACAUGGCAUUAUUUCAUUCUUUUUUUAAUGGCUGAGUAAUAUACUAUGUAUACAUGCACCAUUUCUUUAGCCACUCCUCCACUGAUGGACGUUUAGGUUGCUUCCUUGUCUUGGCUAUUGUACAGAAUGCUGCUAUGAACAAUGGGGCGUGUGUAUCUUUUUGAAUUAUGGUUUUUCUCCAGAUAGAUGCCCAGAAGUGGACAGCUGGAUAAUACGUAGCUCUAUUUUUAGUUUUAUGAGGAACCUCCAUUCUGUUUUCCAUAGUGAUUGCACCAGCUUACAUUCCCACCAACAGUGUAAGAGGGUUCCCUUUUCCUCACACUCUCUCCAGCAUUUGUUAUUUGUGUUCUUUUUGAUGAUGGCCAUCCUCAGCAGUGUGAAGUGAUACCUCAUUGUAGUUUUGACUUGCAUUUCUCUAAUAAUUAGUGAUCAUGUGUUUUUUUGCCAUCUGUCUGUCUUCUUUGGAGAAAUGUCUAUCCAGCUCUUCUGCCCAUUUUUUGAUUUUUUUUUAUUAUAAAGGUCCAUGUGAUGUUUGUAUAUUUUGGAGAUUAGGAGCUAGAGUUAGAUAAGAAGACUGUGUGUGUGUGUGUAAAAUCAAUAAAAGGGAAUUAGGGAUACAAGCUGUUUCAGAAAUAAUUAUAAAUUUGGUGACCAAGUAAUUGUAUUAGAUACCUUUAAGAAAUAGUACAAUAGUUAUUCUAGGAAUAAUCAGUAGCUAUAAUUAAUACUCAGUACAGUUAUCUAUCGCAUAUUAAUAGACUGUAGUCUGCAUAUAGGAAUACUUGAGAAGAUGUAAGCUAGCAGUGUUGGGUAUUAACUUUCCAAAUUUAUUUUGCUUUUUACGGCUGCAUCCGCAGCAUAUGGAAGUUCCCGGGCUAGGGGAUGAAUUGCAGCUGUAGCUGCCAGCUUCUGCCACAGCCACAGCAACGUGGGAUCUGAGCCACAUCUGCGACCUAACCACAGCUCAUGGCAAUGCCGGAUCCCUGACCCACUGAAGGAGGCCAGGGAUCAAACCCUCAUCCUCAUGGAUACAAGCUGGCUUUGUUUCCACUGUGCCACAGUGGGAACUCUGGGUAUUAACUUUUAAAGAGAGCUGAAAACUGGAUAAUAUGCUUUUAAAAGUCUAUCUUUAUUAAACAGAACAAUCUAAACAUUGAGGAAUAAAGUCAAAUCUAGAAGCAAUCAUUUAACUUUUGUCUCUGCCACAAUGUACUUCGAUUGCUAUAUUAAUAGUAUCAGAAAACUGUAUAUAUAAAUUCCAAAAACACAUAUUUUGCAUUUACAUUAGCACUUAAGGCACUGCUUAGGACAAAUAUGUACUAUUCGGCAUAUUCUGGAACUUCUCACUUAUUAUCCCUUAUCAUUCACUGAGAGGUAGAGGGGAGAGAAAAAAAAAAAACACACUUCACUUAGGGCACUGGGGAAAACCCAGGGCAGUUGGGGAAAAGGAAGAGAUUUUUAAAAGAUCUAUUCUAGGGGAAAGACGGGAAUGAGUGCUGGAGCCAGAACUAUAACUGGAGGAAGAAUAGGAAGACUGAGAAAGCAGGACCCCUGAGAUCUAAGGAUUCUGCCUGCCUGUGAUGCACAGAGAAGGAUAUAACAUAAUCAAUACCAAACCAGAGUAGUUUUUGCAAAAAAGGCCUGACUUCAAUAAAUUGAGGGACAUUCUAUAACAUAUCUGAUUAGUACUCUUCAAAACUGUCAAUGUCCUGAAAGAUAAGGAAAAACUGAGGAAGUGUCAUGGAUUGGAGGAAACUAAGGAGAGGUGACAACUCAGUGCAGUGUGUUCACAUGGACUGCAUCCUGGAACAGAAAAAGGACUUUGGUGGAAAAACUGGUAGACUCUGAAUAAAGUCUCUGGUUUAAUAUUGUACAAAUUUUGAUCUCUUAGUUUUCAUAAUUGUAUUAUAGUUACGUGAAAAGUUAACAUUAGGGGUUGCUGGAUGAAGGGCAUAUGAAAACAUUCUGUACUAUAUUUACAACUCUUAUUUCAACUGUAUGUAAUGCCUUGAGGUCUCAGCUGAGUAUCUGGAGGAUGUUUUCUCUGGCACUGCAUUUCUGUAUGAAUGGUGGUUUUUCAGCUUGCCUGCUUUUCCUACCUCUAGGUGUCCACUAAAACUGUUCUAACAGUAUGGCCAGGUCACCAGUGGUCUACCUGAUGUUGAAU